rnacentral:rRNA from 1 species
UACGUAGGGUGCAGGCGUUAAUCGGAAUUACUGGGCGUAAAGCGUGCGCAGGCGGUUCGUUAAGUUCGUUGUGAAAGCCCCGGGCUCAACCUGGGAACUGCAAUGGAAACUGGCGGGCUUGAGUGUGGCAGAGGGGGGUGGAAUUCCGCGUGUAGCAGUGAAAUGCGUAGAGAUGCGGAGGAACACCGAUGGCGAAGGCAGCCCCCUGGGCCAACACUGACGCUCAGGCACGAAAGCGUGGGGAGCAAACAGG